UAGAUGACAAGGCGUGAUAAUUUGUUUUCGUUGCAUUCAGUGUUGUGACCUGACUAGGAGCCCGGUGUGCACGGGAUUUUUCUCUAAAACUUGCUAUGUGCAGCAAUAAGACAAGUGAUUCAGGCCUUUGUAACCUCAAGCAUUCAUUUACCCUAGAGUUCUACUUUGGCCUACUUUUGAAGAGCAUGUCAGCCGGCACAAUGCAACAGCUUAAAUUUGAGAUGUAAAAUCUCCUUCAAGAGUCGAACCAAUCCAAAGAAGUUUGUAUCCAUCACAGUUUUCAUCUCAUCUAUGGUCUGGCAUUCAAUAGGUCCAAUGAGCCCCAUUCCAGCAUUGCUAACUGUACAGAUUCAAAAUACAGUACCAAGGCGAGUCCGAUUCCUGAGGAGCAACCUGUGAUGAGUACAGUUUUCUGAGCCAUUAUUUUCAGCUGGAUGGCAGCAGAUAUAG